AUAAUUGUGGACUACGUGAUCCAUUUCAGCAGCUGCGGACUGGUUACAACAUUGUCCUAUGUAAUGCAGCUAUGGACCAUGCCAUUGUCAAUCAAGAAUGUUUUGGUUAAGAAAUGUAACGGCAAAUGAUCGUUUUUUAUCGUUUGCUCAUUAAUUUGUUGUUUUUGCAAGCGUUAGCUUUUUGCAGACACGUGUUUUUUGUUUUUUUUUUUUGGCACAAAUUUGACAUUGAUUUUAGUUUGUUUCUGGAAGCGUGGUGCGUCGGUUGAAUCGUUGUGCGUGGCGAUAAAUUGCAAACAAAAGUAAAAGAUUUGAAGCCAACACUUUUAAUCUACGCAAUUCUAACUGAUAUUAUCUUCGUAAUUCGACAAUAUUUAAAAUGGAAGGCAGAAAUCUUAAACAUCUAAAUGCUUGCAACGGACUUUCUAAUUACAGUGCCAAACAAACGCCAUGCUCUUCGUGCAUAAAACUUAAUGGUAGUUUUUGUUAAAUAUGGAGUUUCGUCUUUAUUAACAACAUUGUUUAAUUUAUAGAAAUGAUGGCUUAAGAAAAAAAUUACAGCAACAGCUCUCAAAAUUACAAACAACAACAGAACAGCAAAACAAAAUAAUAGUGGAAAUGUUAGCAGAGCACAAAUUACAGCUGCAAACCCUCAAUAAGUCCCAGAAAAAUGUUACUUCCCUGUCAAGCAAAUUUUCCCUCAAAUCCGAAGAAGAUCUCCAAAAAGUUGAGAGUGAAAUAUGCGAUUCGAAUGAAGAAAAAUAUAUAUCUGCUGUAAAGUAUUUAAUCGAUGGCAGCGCAAUAAAAAAUUUGGAACGCAUUUUUUCCCGGGAGAUUUGCGUAAUGUACAGUACGGAUGGUAUUUGUGGGAAAAAAUGUUAGAAGGAUUUUAAAAGAAUAUAUAAAAUUGUUAUUGCUGCAAUAAGUGACUACUCCCCCAAUAGCGAAAAAGAAUUUCGAGCAGCACUCCAAGUUGUGAAAAAAAGGCACUUCCGAGUUGUUUGUGCCCAAAACAAAAACAAAAAUUAAUUAUAUACUUCUUUUAUACUUUUUUAUAUACUUUUUAUUUACAUGAUAGUGAAUUUGAAUAUAACUUAAGUUUUUUUAAUGAAUUUAUCUUAUUUAUCUCACUAAAGACUUUCAAUGUACCCGCAAAAUGAAAUAUUUAUUUUUUUGUUUUAUACAAUAAAACACUAAUACUUAUAGUACAUUA